UACGUAGGGGGCUAGCGUUGUCCGGAUUUAUUGGGCGUAAAGAGCGUGUAGGCGGCCAGGUAGGUCUGCUGUGAAAACUCGAGGCUCAACCUCGAGACGUCGGCGGAAACCAUCUGGCUAGAGUCCGGAAGAGGAGAGUGGAAUUCCUGGUGUAGAGGUGAAAUUCGUAGAUAUUGGGAAGAACACCGGUGGCGAAGGCGGCGACCUGGUCCGAUACUGACGCUGAGGCGCGAAAGCGUGGGGAGCAAACAGG
rnacentral:rRNA from 1 species